CAGUCGCCGCGGUAAUACGAAGGGUGCAAGCGUUAAUCGGAAUUGCUGGGCGUAAAGCGUGCGCAGGCGGUUAUAUAAGACAGAUGUGAAAUCCCCGGGCUCAACCUGGGACCUGCAUUUGUGACUGUAUAGCUAGAGUACGGUAGAGGGGGAUGGAAUUCCGCGUGUAGCAGUGAAAUGCGUAGAUAUGCGGAGGAACACCGAUGGCGAAGGCAAUCCCCUGGACCUGUACUGACGCUCAUGCACGAAAGCGUGGGGAGCAAACAGGAUUAGAUACCCCUGUAGUCCCUGUCUCUUAUAC
rnacentral:rRNA from 1 species